rnacentral:rRNA from 1 species
CGGCCGGGAACUCAAAGGAGACUGCCAGUGAUAAACUGGAGGAAGGUGGGGAUGACGUCAAGUCAUCAUGGCCCUUACGACCAGGGCUACACACGUGCUACAAUGGCAUAUACAAAGAGAAGCGACCUCGCGAGAGCAAGCGGACCUCAUAAAGUAUGUCGUAGUCCGGAUUGGAGUCUGCAACUCGACUCCAUGAAGUCGGAAUCGCUAGUAAUCGUAGAUCAGAAUGCUACGGUGAAUACGUUCCCGGGCCUUGUACACACCGCCCGUCACACCAUGGGAGUGGGUUGCAAAAGAAGUA